CAUGCAGUCGACGAUGAUGAGUAGCUUGCUACUCUGAUUAGUGGCGCACGGGUGAGUAAUAUAUAGAUAACGUACCUCUUAGACUGGGAUAGCCAUUGGAAACGAUGAUUAAUACUAGAUACUCCUUCUAGCUCUAAUGCUAGUCGGGAAAGUUUUUUCGCUAAGAGAUCGGUCUAUAUCCUAUCAGUUAGUUGGUGAGGUAAUGGCUCACCAAGGCAAUGACAGGUAGCGGGUUUGAGAGGAUGAUCCGCCACACUGGUACUGAGACACGGACCAGACUCCUACGGGAGGCAGCAGUGAGGAAUAUUGCACAAUGGGGGAAACCCUGAUGCAGCAACGCCGCGUGGAGGAUGACGCAUUUCGGUGUGUAAACUCCUUUUAUAUGUCAAGAAAAUGACGGUAGCAUAUGAAUAAGCACCGGCUAACUCCGUGCCAGCAGCCGCGGUAAUACGGAGGGUGCAAGCGUUAUUCGGAAUCACUGGGCGUAAAGGACGCGUAGGCGGGUUUGUAAGUCAGGUGUGAAAUCCUACAGCUUAACUGUAGAACUGCACUUGAAACUACUGACCUAGAGUAUGGGAGGGGGAGAUGGAAUUAGUGGUGGUAGGGGGUAAAAUCCGUACAUAUCACUAGGAAUACCUAAAGCGAAGGCGAUCUCCUGGAACAUAACUGACGCUAAGCGUGAAAGCGUGGGGAGCAAACAGAUUAGAUACCCUGGUAGUCCACGCCCUAAACGAUGACACUAGUCGUCGUGAUGCUAGUCAUUGCGGUGAUGCACU
rnacentral:rRNA from 1 species